rnacentral:lncRNA from 1 species
UGCUUUAGAGCCAUGAGUCACCAGCCCUUCAGAGCUGGGACGGCCACUCCGCUGACAUCUCUCAAGGUUCAGCUCCACGUUCCCUCACCAUACAGCCCUCCUGAGGUCUCUGCUUUCUCUACUCCCCUAGACCAAAGUACCCAAUGAAGGAUGGGUCCUGGCUCCUCCUGUAGCUGUGGGAAAAACCAGUCACUUCCAGCUCUAGACCUCAGUGGGAGGUCUCACCCGGACUCACAAUGGCACCGCUUCACGGCCCUCUGGUCAUUCCUCUAUCAAGGCACUUGGUUGCGUAACAUCCUCGGCAUCCCCCCCUUGACGGGAAAUGUCUGCGAGGCUCACACCACCAUAGUCAGCUUCGACUCUCCAGCCUCAUUCGGUGCUUUGCAUCUAGGAAAUGCCUAAUGCCUGUUUGUUGAAUGAAUAACUUUGUCUUGCAAAAUAUCUGUUGGUAUUCUUUAAGAGAUCGUUUCCUGGGACACCUAGGUAGCUCAGUAGGUUGAGGGGCUGACUCUUGGUUUCGGCUCAGGUCAUGAUCUCACCGCACCUGAGAUCAAGCCCCUGGAGAUCCAACCCCACAUCUAACUCUGGGCUGAUAGCCUGGAGCCUGCUUUGGAUUCUCUCUCUUCCUGUCUCUCUGUCCCUCAGGGUGCUCUGUCUCUCUCUCCUCUCUCAAAAAUCAAUAAUCAAACAUUUGAUUUUUGAGAGAGGAGAGAGAGACAGAGCCUGAGCAGGGGAGGGACAUAGAAAAAAUAAAAAAAAAAAAAUUUAAUGUCUGAUUAUUUAC